rnacentral:tRNA from 1 species
UGGUAUCGUAGUCUAGCGGCAAUGACAGGAGACUGUAAAUCUCCAGGCUUCGGCCUUCGGUAGUUCGAGUCUACCCGGUACCACCAA